UACGUAGGGUGCGAGCGUUAAUCGGAAUUACUGGGCGUAAAGCGUGCGCAGGCGGUUUUGUAAGCCAGAUGUGAAAUCCCCGGGCUUAACCUGGGAAUGGCAUUUGGGACUGCAAGGCUGGAGUUUGGCAGAGGAGACUGGAAUUCCUGGUGUAGCAGUGAAAUGCGUAGAUAUCAGGAGGAAUACCGAUGGCGAAGGCAGGUCUCUGGGCUAUAACUGACGCUCAUGCACGAAAGCGUGGGGAGCAAACGAGG
rnacentral:rRNA from 1 species